UACGUAGGGACCAAGCGUUGUUCGGAUUUACUGGGCGUAAAGGGCUCGUAGGCGGCCAACUAAGUCGGAUGUGAAAUCCCCAGGCUCAACCUGGGAACUGCAUCCGAUACUGGAUGGCUUGAAUCCGGGAGAGGGAUGCAGAAUUCCAGGUGUAGCGGUGAAAUGCGUAGAUAUCUGGAGGAAUACCGGUGGCGAAGGCGGCAUCCUGGACCGACAUUGACGCUGAUGAGCGAAAGCUAGGGGAGCAAACGGG
rnacentral:rRNA from 1 species